rnacentral:rRNA from 1 species
AUUGUUCGCAAUGGGCGCAAGCCUGACGACGCAACGCCGCGUGGGGGAUGAAGGUCCUCGGAUUGUAAACCCCUGUUGGGUGGGACGAACACUUUCGUGGUGAACAGCCAUGGAAGCUGACGGUACCACCUGAGGAAGCACCGGCUAACUCUGUGCCAGCAGCCGCGGUAAUACAGAGGGGGCAAGCGUUGUUCGGAAUUACUGGGCGUAAAGGGCGCGUAGGCGGCCUGUUAAGUCGGACGUGAAAUCCCUCGGCUCAACCGGGGAACUGCGUCCGAUACUGGCGGGCUUGAGUUCGGGAGAGGGAUGUGGAAUUCCAGGUGUAGCGGUGAAAUGCGUAGAUAUCUGGAGGAACACCGGUGGCGAAGGCGGCAUCCUGGACCGACACUGACGCUGAGGCGCGAAAGCCAGGGGAGCAAACGGGA